rnacentral:snRNA from 1 species
AUACUUUCCUGGCAGGGGAGAUCCCAUGAUCACGAAGGUGGUUUUCCCAGGGCGAGGCUUAUCCAUUGCACUCCAGAUGUGCUGACCCUGUGAUUUCCCCAAAUGUGGGAAACUCAACUCCAUAAUUUGUGGUAGUGGGGGACUGCGUUUGUGCUCUCCCCUA